rnacentral:rRNA from 1 species
GAUGAACGCUGGCGGCGUGCUUAACACAUGCAAGUCGAACGAUGAAGCCCAGCUUGCUGGGUGGAUUAGUGGCGAACGGGUGAGUAACACGUGAGUAACCUGCCCUUAACUCUGGGAUAAGCCUGGGAAACUGGGUCUAAUACCGGAUAGGAGCGCCUACCGCAUGGUGGGUGUUGGAAAGAUUUAUCGGUUUUGGAUGGACUCGCGGCCUAUCAGCUUGUUGGUGAGGUAAUGGCUCACCAAGGCGACGACGGGUAGCCGGCCUGAGAGGGUGACCGGCCACACUGGGACUGAGACACGGCACAGACUACUACGGGAGGCAGCAGUGGGGAAUAUUGCACAAUGGGCGAAAGCCUGAUGCAGUGACGCCGCGUGAGGGAUGACGGCCUUCGGGUUGUAAACCUCUUUCAGUAGGGAAGAAGCGAAAGUGACGGUACCUGCAGAAGAAGCCCCGGCUAACUACGUG